rnacentral:lncRNA from 1 species
GGUGGAGAGAAUUGAGUUGGUCAUUGCUUCGGGUCAUCGAGAAACUUCGUUAGAGUGGAAAAACAUAGAAAGACUGCUGCCUCGCUUCCAACCGCAUCUCAUGUAAUGUUAGCGUGAAUUGUCACUGAACACUAACCUGCCUUCAGCCCAAUAGAAUUCCCCUCCAUUUUCACACCAACUGUAAAGCUGCCUUAGUCACAUCAAGGGUCACCGUCACCAUACCAACUCCUUCUGCCAGUUCCCCUUCUUCCUCUUGUAUGAGCCCAACUUCAAAAAGGCAUUUUCGGGGUAAUGGAGACCAUGAAAGAGGGAAGCUUCAGUCAGCCUUAAGGCAUGGAAUCGUCAUUCUCCUUAGCUUUUUUCGUUGAGGUAAGGUAUAAGGUAAGGCCUGCAAGUUCGUUCCUUGAAGUAUUUUCCUCUUAGUUUUAGCUCUUGGAUGAUAUAAUCCAUCUAAUCAAAAGGAAGGAAGGAUAGACAGUCCAGCAGGUGUAUAAGGAUGAAGUGAAGAUGAAGUAAGGAUGGCUUGGGCGCCUCUGGAAUUAUGAAAUCCUCUUCUAGGCAUGUUCCCGAUACUAUACUAGUGAAAGAAGUUCCUUGCCUUUUGUUUUGCUAGUGGGCUGGUGCAGACUUCCUUCUUUAUGCUCAUAGGCUUAACCAACCUAGAGCACGGUGUGCUUGUAUACCAGUAGGCUAUUACGACGCACCGGAGACCUUCGGCCAUAAGACUUUAGGCGCAACGACGCAACUAUUAUAUGACCACUUACGCAUUGAUACGUGAAUACGAUGGGAUACGACCGCCCGUAAUGGCUUUCCGUUGGUAUGUAGUUGGAUCGAUGCUUCGCCUCAUCCGUGCUCCUUGGAAACCUUGACUCUUCAAUAGAUUAGAUUCAUCAACACUUAAGAAAAGUGGUACUUUCUCUUUGCCUUACCGUCUUUUCUCAGCGGAUCAGCCACAUAGUCCGAAGUAAGGUUAGUGACGGGAACUUAGCUAUCUUUUGGUCAGGUUUUCCGGGGUUGGUUCCUCUACUAGAAUAGGUCCCGAACGCCUCACUUCUCUUACUUUCGGUGCUUAUCUUCAAUUAGAAGAUGGUCACCCGCCCUAAGCAAGAUCGGUUCAGCAGGCCAAUUCACGCAUCUUCCGCAGAGUACCAGCGCCAGCCCUAUGAGCUAACUUUCCAUUUGACGGCAAAAGAAGAGCAAUCGGCCCUGUGAAAGUCACAUCUUUGACUAAUAUACACGGGCUUCUGAGAGGAUUUUUUAAUCAAGCCAAGAGGAAUCGAUUUAGCAGUCCAUACCAGGUAGAUUUAGGAGUGACUGGCAGUGAAUGCCCGGUAGCAAAGGUGCGAAGCAGACUCGGCUUAACUUCACUUGAGUUCGGUUUCCCCUGGAAAUGAUGGAAUAAGCUUUUCUUCCUCUUAGAGACUAUGAGCUCAUAGGGAGCUGGAAUGAACUUGGUUAGCUGGGACUAAGAAGGGAUAGGAUUUGAUUAGCACGUUUUCUGCCUGUCCUUUCCUUACUCUGUCGAUGGUAUGCCUGAGAUGGCAGUCUUUUUCCUUGGCUUGUACUCGAGAUCCAAAAAAAGUGGAUUUCGAACCAGCAUACGCAAAGCAAAGGUCUCGGCGUCCCCGACCUUGGGGCCUAGUCGCUGGCUUGAUGGACGCUAUCAUUUCAUGGGAAUUCUUCAGUCUAUCGCUUACCGGUCGGGUAAAGCUUACGCGAGACUCUAAUCACUCUAAUAGUAUCUAUAAUAGAUACUAAUAGUAGAAGUCAUCAGGACGGUAGCACUUCAGCUACUGCUGCAGCAGCUUUAGAUAGGCGCCUGCUUCAGUUUCAUUCAAUAAGAGGGUGUCACCCUCUAGCUGUAAUCUAUCUCUUUCUCUAUGAUAUUCUAUAUUCUCCCUUUCCUACUUCCGAAGCAUAGGAAAUCGUUUUUGUCAUUUAGUAGAGUAUGUCACCUUUGUUUUCUGUUGUAGGAGUGGUACGCCAUAGAUUGUCCCUUGCUUGCAACCCUUCUUUCAAUACAAUACGCCCUUGCUCUUGUAAAUCGAUGAGCAAAAUAUAUAAAUAUAAAUAUAGAAUAAACUCCGCUGAAAGUAGGGAUUAGGGGUAGCUCACUUGUCGACCAAGGAAAGCGGGUCAGUUGAUUGGCAAGCCGACUGAUACGGCCCCUUCUUCUGCUGCGGUUGAAUCGGAUAAAGCUAGUUAGAUAGAGUAAGUGGAGAUGAACAUCUUAUUAAUGUGUGCUCUUCUGUACUUCACUUCUGGCAAUCUCAGGCAUAUUACUAAUAUAUUAUUUAGAUUAUGCGGUUGUUCAUCUUUCAUUUUAUUAUUCCAAACCAAGCCGACUGUAACGACUCUUCGAUAAACUAGCAUCUCCUUCACUAUAACAGCCCUGACUUCAUCUACGAGAAUCGAGAAUAAAAUCGCAGUGAUGCCGCCAUUUAAGGAAGCAAGUUUAGCCUAUUUAAAUGACACAUUCUCUCCUCGGGAAAGGAGCAUUUAUAAACGAGGUUCUAUACGCAAAGCCCAAAAAGCAG